CAAUGAAGGGUGAGUAGAAGACCGCUCAGUAGCCGAUGAGUCGAGGGUGGCGAGUUUUACCACAAACCCCGGUUUGGAUCCGGUUCGUUCUUCCGGACGGACCUGUUUCGCCGGCUUCUCCUACAGCAAGAACUUCGCCUGUUCUGUGGGUUGCGACUUCGUCGAUAAGGACACCUAUAAGGGUUGCUAGGUGGCGUUAUUCUACUACUAGAAUAACAUCUUCUCUCUGGGUAACUGUGGAGUCUAGGAUGGGUAAUCGGAUGUCCAAGGUAGGCCUAACUUUCGAGGUGGCCAGGUCGUUUCGGAUGACUGUUCGGUUGUUGAGGUCACGUUUGGCCGCCAUGGUUUCUACUACUCCAACAAUAAUGAACAUGACCGGUAUGACUCGGUUUGUUAGGACAGCGAAAUAGGUUUGUAAGACGGUUCCUUCUUGAACGACGGAAACCAUUUCCGUUCACCUUGCGACUAGACUGCUGAAUGCGACGAGGCUUGCGGGUUCUAUAGGUAAGGCCGAUAGACUUGGCCGACAUAUGGUCGGCACUGAUACUUCGGCCAGACCAGUUAUACUACUUUCUGUUUAUACUCCGCCUCGACUUCUGCUUUCUCUUGGUUCAGUAGCUAGAAGUUCUUCGGGACUUUUGGGUUGUUCGACUUUGGAGGUUUCGUUUUCCCUUAACUGGUCACGAAAUUCGCGGUACCUUGUUGAAUACCUUUUGAAGUUUUUCUUUGCCCGCCUGACCCGGUGACUCUUUAGGCGAAACUAGUUUGCUCGUCUCCUACGACUCCGACGUGAUUUUGGUCACCGUCUACUUGACUGGUCGUAUUUCGCCGUGCACGUACGGUACUGACGACGAUAGAAACCCUGUGCGUAACCAGUAAACCCCAGUCUACAUGCCUUCUUCGAUUUUCGGCGGAUAUGUAACCAAGUUGUUAACAUAUGACCACGGGUCGCCUAGUAGACAUGGCGGAGAGUAUUGUUUGACCGCGGAUGAAACUAAGUUCUAUGAGACUACUUUGACAGCCACGAAGGACGGGCCUAACUUCUCGAUUUCUUUAGACGACGAGCUUGGCCGCGUUAGUUACGAAAUUAGGCCCGUUUUCGGACCCACGGCCUAAAACUAGGACAACUUCGCCGAGUCCCGAUAGGGUCAAACUUCCUUCUGCCUAGUCUUAAGCCACUUCGCCUAGACGCUCGCUAUUUGGCCCUUCACGCAGGUGAUCGAACAGUCAACCGACUCCUUCGUCUGAACAGAGCAAUAGUUCGCAUUAUACUGUCAGUCUUGUUCGCUUAUCGACGCGGUUAGGUACUUAGCCUUUUAGACUAAGCAGGUUAGGCAUUCGUAUGCAUGCGAGAGCUAUAACUGGGCAGGAACGACUAGGUGCUACUUUGACAAAAAGUUCGUAAUCACCCUUAGCUGACAUGUUGACACCUAAAGGUCGGUGACCCAUCCCUAUGCCUCCGACUUCGCCGCGUCCUGCUAGGUGUUGGUAGUCCGGUCCGACCACUGGUUCGAACUUGGCCUGCGGCCAAAUUUUGACGUAGAAGAAGCGUUUUUUGUUAAUAUAAUAAUACCCGUAGUACAAAGGAACAUUAUCCGAUCGACUAUGGAAACUACAACUAUACGGAAGCACGUAUUAAACAAGAAGGACACCG
rnacentral:rRNA from 1 species